rnacentral:lncRNA from 1 species
GAGGUAUGCUAUCAGUGGGUCGAUCCAACUGGGCUCGUGGUCAAUUUUCAUCAUAGGCCGCGAUUCUUCCGUACUCAGGCACUUCAGAACUUCAAAGAGGACACCCUUAGGCAAUUCGGCCGGAGCCAGCGUAGCCAGCUUGGAGAGAAGAUCGGCCCUGGUAUUUUCCAUCCUUGGAAUCUACCUGAUGUUGAAGCUACUGAAGGUGGGGACGAGCUC